GCGCCUUUCUCCAGAAAGAUGCUCUUCCUCCAAGACCCUUGACAGCUCUCUUCUCUCCCUGGAUGGCAGCAGCAGGGCCGGUUGGAGUGGUAAACCCAGGCAGGAAGCCAUGCCAAAGGGAGCUGAGCCGGGCCUGGACUGGACUGUAAGGAGGGAGCUUUGCGCCAUCUCUGGAGAGUGUGUGAAUUCUCAGCUUUGAGAACUGAAUUCCAUGGGUUGUGUCAGUGUCAGACCUGUGAAAUUCAGUUCUUCAGCUGGGAUGUCUCUGUCAUCGUGGACUUGAGGGACCUUGGAGGGAGCACAUCCUCAAGAACAUCUUCAGGCUGUGGAGGAACUCAGAAGACAGAAGAGCCAUGCCCCAGGCCCCAUGGGGGUGUCUUGAGUGGGGGAAGCCGAGCUGAGGAAGGAACGAGCUCAGCAGGUCGCCCUCGCUGCCGCUGCGACUCUCGUUUACGUUUAUUGAUUACUUACGAGGAGUCAGGCACAGGACUAAGUGCUGUACAUGCUGUUAUAGGAGACUCUGGGGGAAAAUCACUUUAAUGAAGCUUGAGAUCAGAGCAUGCCAGGCAAUGAUUUUUUUUCCCCUCUUCAUGGGACCAGAUGGAAUUAAUAGCAUGUGACAAUGAUUCUUUAUCAUGGAAUGCUGAGGCAUCUGGCUCCUUUUCGAGAUGUCUGGUGCAAAAGGAUGAGAACCUUGGGUAAAUCCCUCUUCUGGCCCCCCCCCCACUCCCUUUAUUUGAAUCUACCCCUUUCUGCCUUCUAUAAAUAUACUAAGGCUAUGUUAUCCCUUUGUGUUCCAAAUGAGGCAAAAAGAGGUUGUAAUUAGACUUCACCGCAAGCCCCAGUUUCCCCCAGGGAAAAGGAUAACACAUUUUUCCAAGGCCCCGCCACUUGCUUGAUAGGCUCUUCUGGACGCCCUGAGUCGAGAGCUUCUGCCUUCCUCUGUCACCAUGUGAGCUAGGUCUGUUCUGAAGCUCAAGUUCGUUUUGAUGAUGAUGAUUUCCACUUUUAGGCAGAGGCCUGGGAGCUUUGUAUGUACUUAUCUGGACUUUAUUAGUCUUUAGAUUUGAUGAAGAAAAAGGAAUUUGAUUUGUCUUUUGGGCUUUGAUUCUUUGCUGUCUUCUUGGUGUCCUGGAAUUUCUAACUCAUUAUUAACCACAGAAUGAAUGCUCUAGUCUGGCCCAGAGAGGGUAGGUGGGACGAGAUGGGAGACCCUACAGCGUGCACACUCUCAGCCUUUCUCCUCAGUGGUACUGAUGUUUAUUGAGCAACUGCUGUGCAUGAGGCACUAUGCUCAGGGCUUUGUGUGCAUGAGGUCAGGGACUCUCACCAAACCUCAUCUGGAAAAUGGGGACAGAUUAACUAAAGGAUGUCAAAUAAAAAAAACAACGUAACCAUGUUCUCCAGGUAUAAAGGUUAUAAUGCUUGGUUAUAAUGAAAGCCUCAGGUAUGGGUGUGAAACCUGGGUCUAUUCUCUGGGUUUACUGAUCAAAUCAAGGACCUCCCCGCCCUUCUCACUCUGCCCACUUCCGCUCUAAGCUUAUCAGGCCCUUACCCAGUGACUCAUUCCAGCACCAGAAUAUUUGUGAAUCUUUAACCAAGUACCAAUGUCUCCAGUCAGUCCUAGACUGCUGGAGAAAAUCCAGGAUGUAUACUGGAAGCUAUAAAGGAGUUGGGGUUUCAACUCCUUUGUGCUGGGCUCACUGACUUGGACCCAGAACCCUGAUUUACUGCAAAAUGUUCAUCGCAUCCUGAUGUGUUCUUCGAAUUCAGCACACACACACACACACACACACACACACACACACUCUCACACUUACCCAGUGUGCCUGUGAGUAGGCAAACAGUGCUGCAAGGCUGGGGGUGCGGCUCAGUGGUACAGCACUUGCCUAGCAUGUUCAACCUCUGGUGCUGGAAAAAACCAGAUGAAUAAAAAAGAAAAGAAGGCUUCAUUUUAUAAGAGGGUCAUGUUACGUUUCCAUGAAGUAGUAUACUUGCCCAAAUUUUAGAGAUUAUAUUUUCUUUAUCAAAAUUUGUUCUAUGUAUGAGGGGAAAAAAAAACAGGUUGCCCUGUUUUUUUGAGAUUUUUUUUAAAUGAGAUUCUAAAUUAUACAUAGGAGAAUGUGUGUUGAUAGAUGUGCAUCAGUUUAUUAACAGGGAUUAUCUUUGGGAUGGUGGGAAUUGAGAUGCGUUUUUCUUUCUUUGUUUUUUUUUUUUUCCCUCUAUUGUUUGGUUCUUACACAAAGCAUGUUUAAUUAAAGUAAGUUAUUGAAGAAAA